AUUGAACGCUAGCGGGAUGCCUUACACAUGCAAGUCGAACGGCAGCACGGACUUCGGUCUGGUGGCGAGUGGCGAACGGGUGAGUAAUGUAUCGGAACGUGCCUAGUAGCGGGGGAUAACUACGCGAAAGCGUAGCUAAUACCGCAUACGCCCUACGGGGGAAAGCAGGGGAUCGCAAGACCUUGCACUAUUAGAGCGGCCGAUAUCGGAUUAGCUAGUUGGUGGGGUAACGGCUCACCAAGGCGACGAUCCGUAGCUGGUUUGAGAGGACGACCAGCCACACUGGGACUGAGACACGGCCCAGACUCCUACGGGAGGCAGCAGUGGGGAAUUUUGGACAAUGGGGGAAACCCUGAUCCAGCCAUCCCGCGUGUGCGAUGAAGGCCUUCGGGUUGUAAAGCACUUUUGGCAGGAAAGAAACGUCAUGGGUUAAUACCCCGUGAAACUGACGGUACCUGCAGAAUAAGCACCGGCUAACUACGUGCCAGCAGCCGCGGUAAUACGUAGGGUGCAAGCGUUAAUCGGAAUUACUGGGCGUAAAGCGUGCGCAGGCGGUUCGGAAAGAAAGAUGUGAAAUCCCAGAGCUUAACUUUGGAACUGCAUUUUUAACUACCGAGCUAGAGUGUGUCAGAGGGAGGUGGAAUUCCGCGUGUAGCAGUGAAAUGCGUAGAUAUGCGGAGGAACACCGAUGGCGAAGGCAGCUUCCUGGGAUAACACUGACGCUCAUGCACGAAAGCGUGGGGAGCAAACAGG
rnacentral:rRNA from 1 species